CAACAGACGUGAGGCGGAGCUGGAAUUGGAAUCCAUGACCUUCUGACUCCCAGGCCUGCGCUCUAUCCACUACGCCCUGCCGCUUCUCUGCGAUGCCAUGUUGCUUCCUCUCAGACCCGCUCUGGGAUGGAGUUGGGAUGGAGAGGGACUGUGCCCGUUGGCUGACCGGUACUUUGCAAAGACAAAUAUGUCAAUACUUACUAUCAACAGACUGAUUGAAAUAUAAACCCCUGGGAAGGAAGAUUGCAAUGGAAAUCAAAGGAAUGUCAGGAGAAGAUUAACCCUCGCAUGGUUCC
rnacentral:lncRNA from 1 species